AUUGAACGCUGGCGGCAGGCCUAACACAUGCAAGUCGAGCGGAUGACGGGAGCUUGCUCCUUGAUUCAGCGGCGGACGGGUGAGUAAUGCCUAGGAAUCUGCCUGGUAGUGGGGGACAACGUUUCGAAAGGAACGCUAAUACCGCAUACGUCCUACGGGAGAAAGCAGGGGACCUUCGGGCCUUGCGCUAUCAGAUGAGCCUAGGUCGGAUUAGCUAGUUGGUGGGGUAAUGGCUCACCAAGGCGACGAUCCGUAACUGGUCUGAGAGGAUGAUCAGUCACACUAGAACUGAGACACGGUCCAGACUCCUACGGGAGGCAGCAGUGGGGAGUAUUGGACAAUGGGCGAAAGCCUGAUCCAGCCAUGCCGCGUGUGUGAAGAAGGUCUUCGGAUUGUAAAGCACUUUAAGUUGGGAGGAAGGGCAGUAAGUUAAUACCUUGCUGUUUUGACGUUACCAACAGAAUAAGCACCGGCUAACUCUGUGCCAGCCGCCGCGGUAA
rnacentral:rRNA from 1 species